GGCAACGAUGCGUAGCCGACCUGAGAGGGUGAUCGGCCACACUGGAACUGAGACACGGUCCAGACUCCUACGGGAGGCAGCAGUAGGGAAUCUUCCGCAAUGGGCGAAAGCCUGACGGAGCAACGCCGCGUGAGUGAUGAAGGUCUUCGGAUCGUAAAACUCUGUUAUUAGGGAAGAACAAAUGUGUAAGUAACUAUGCACGUCUUGACGGUACCUAAUCAGAAAGCCACGGCUAACUACGUGCCAGCAGCCGCGGUAAUACGUAGGUGGCAAGCGUUAUCCGGAAUUAUUGGGCGUAAAGCGCGCGUAGGCGGUUUUUUAAGUCUGAUGUGAAAGCCCACGGCUCAACCGUGGAGGGUCAUUGGAAACUGGAAAACUUGAGUGCAGAAGAGGAAAGUGGAAUUCCAUGUGUAGCGGUGA
rnacentral:rRNA from 14 species